UCGCGGGGUGGAGCAGUCUGGUAGCUCGUCGGGCUCAUAACCCGAAGGUCGUUGGUUCAAAUCCGGCCCCCGCAAU
rnacentral:tRNA from 1 species